ACACUUAGUAUUCACAGCUGUCACACUGAUGUCAUAUGAGUAACAGCUUUGAGUUACUGUGUCAACUGCACUGAACCCAAAACUUUUUUAAACUACACUGCAUUCUGAAAUUACUUACUGUGGAGAAAGUAUCACAACAACUAACAACAAAAUUCAAGGAAUGUUUUUUAAAACGUGAAACAUGUAGAAAAGAAAGCUGAAGGAAAUGGUAAUGUGCAACAGUGACUCUGGAAUUUAAACA
rnacentral:lncRNA from 1 species